AGCAUCUGACACAAGAAAAGUUAAACUCCUUUCAGAAAAUCAACUAUUGUAAAUGAAGGUUGAACUAUCAACUGCAUGUGAACCUCUCAAGACAAUGGUAUCUUUCAUGAAUUAAAUUCCAUGGAUGCAGUAUGGAAAAAGUUGGACAUUCCCAAUGACAUGCUGGUGUGUGGAAACAGGACUUUUCCUGGAAAUGAUCAAUUAUGCUCUGGAUGAAUGAAAACAACUCUGUAUUUUAAAGACAUGCUUAUAUUUCUGCACUGGCCAUCGGAGCGAUCCAACCCCGUGACGUCACAUGUGGUGGUACUGCAAGAUGGCGGCGCCCUUGGUCCUAAAGCUAUAACAAAACAACCAUUUUUCUUU